UCAAACUUGGUCAUUUAGAGGAAGUAAAAGUCGUAACAAGGUCUCCGUUGGUGAACCAGCGGAGGGAUCAUUACUGAGUUAUCUAAACUCCAAACCCAUGUGAACUUACCACUGUUGCCUCGGCGAGAAUGCCUUCCACGGUAUGUGCGUUGUGAGCCAGCUUACCCUGUAAGAGCUUACCCUGUACUUACCCUGUAAGAGCUUACCCUGUAGCUACCCUGUAGUGAGGGGCUCGCCAGAGGACCAAACCAAAUUCUUGUUUUAAUGGCACUCUGAGUACUAUUAUUAAAUAAGUCAAAACUUUCAACAACGGAUCUCUUGGUUCUGGCAUCGAUGAAGAACGCAGC
rnacentral:misc_RNA from 1 species